rnacentral:sRNA from 1 species
UCUGGGCAUGAUGGCUCACACCUGUAAUCCUAGCACUUGGGAGGCUGAGGCAGGAGGAUUGCAAGUUCAAAGUCAGACUUAGCAAUUUAGCAAGGCCCUAAGCAAUUUAGCGAUAUCCUGUCUCUC